CUCUUGAAUCCCUUCUUCACCAUUGGCAUCCCUCUUCCCUUCAUUAGAGAUCUCAUCGUUGAACUCAAUCUCUCUCAUCGCCACUCUCAAGGGCGAUCAGCUCAACUCUUCCUCUCUUUCUUUCGUUAAAGAUCUCCUUAGUACUAAACUCAUACUCCCUCUCAUUGUCACUCCCAGAGACAACUAGUCAGACUCUCCCUUUCUCUCCUUUAUUCGAGAUCUCUUCGACACCAAACUCAUACUCCCACUUAUCAACACUGUCAAGGACCCAAUC
rnacentral:lncRNA from 1 species